rnacentral:rRNA from 1 species
UACAGAGGGGGCAAGCGUUGUUCGGAAUUACUGGGCGUAAAGGGCGCGUAGGCGGCGCCGCAAGUCGACUGUGAAAUCUCCGGGCUUAACCCGGAAAGGUCAGCCGAUACUGCGGGGCUAGAGUGCAGAAGGGGCAACUGGAAUUCUCGGUGUAGCGGUGAAAUGCGUAGAUAUCGAGAGGAACACCUGCGGCGAAGGCGGGUUGCUGGGCUGACACUGACGCUGAUGCGCGAAAGCUAGGGGAGCGAACGGG